UUUUUUUUUUCAACGAAGGGGGAGGUUGAGUUGAGGGUUUGUAAUUGUAAUGUACACCGGAGAAAGCCGAAGUGCAUUAUUUCACAAUCUAAAGCUUGUAUAUAUAAUGGUAGUUUGUAAAGUGUACCUUCCCCACAGGACGCUGUGGGAUGUAAAUUUGUAGGUCGAGUUUACAGCUGGUUUUUCUUGACUGAAGCUCAUUCAACUGGUUACUUCUUUGUGGGUGUCUUUAAUGAAGCUUAUAAAUGGCAAAAAGCAAAGGACUACUUCUGAUGAAGAAAGUGGCAUAAUUAAAGCUGAGGACCUCACGCCUGUAAUCCCGCCACUUUGGGAGGCUGAGGCGGGUGGAUCACGAGAUUGGGCAGAACUGACAGCUUCUUGGUGAGAAAUAGGAGUGAUGACCAUAGCUGUCUCUUCAUCUUAUUCCUGCUUCCUCCUGGCCCAGAUCCAAGCUAAGAAUACACUUCAUGGUGCUACCAGAAUGACAUGGCUUCCUUUGCCCCUGCAAGAGCUUUUUUUUUUUCUUUUUUUUUAUCUUAACCUACAAAAUAAAAUAAAAGCAACAGAGCUUU
rnacentral:lncRNA from 1 species